rnacentral:rRNA from 1 species
CCUACGGGUGGCUGCAGUGGGGAAUAUUGCACAAUGGGCGCAAGCCUGAUGCAGCCAUGCCGCGUGUGUGAAGAAGGCCUUCGGGUUGUAAAGCACUUUCAGCGGGGAGGAAGGCGGUGAGGUUAAUAACCUCAUCGGUUGGCGUUACCCGCAGAAGAAGCACCGGCUAACUCCGUGCCAGCAGCCGCGGUAAUACGGAGGGUGCAAGCGUUAAUCGGAAUUACUGGGCGUAAAGCGCACGCAGGCGGUCUGUCAAGUCGGAUGUGAAAUCCCCGGGCUCAACCUGGGAACUGCAUUCGAAACUGGCAGGCUAGAGUCUUGUAGAGGGGGGUAGAAUUCCAGGUGUAGCGGUGAAAUGCGUAGAGAUCUGGAGGAAUACCGGUGGCGAAGGCGGCCCCCUGGACAAAGACUGACGCUCAGGUGCGAAAGCGUGGGGAGCAAACAGGAUUAGAUACCCCAGUAGUC